CGUUAAGAUGGCUGAAUAAUAGGCGUUGGACUGUAAAUUCAAUUAUGGGUUGUACCUCUUAUCGA
rnacentral:tRNA from 1 species